rnacentral:rRNA from 1 species
CCCUUAGAUGUUCUGGGUCGCACGCGCGCUACACUGACGAAUGCAACGAGCUUAUAACCUUGGCCGAAAGGUCUGGGUAAUCUCCAAAUUUCGUCGUGAUGGGGAUAGAUUAUUGCAAUUAUUAAUCUUCAACGAGGAAUGCCUAGUAAGCGCAAGUCAUCAGCUUGCGUUGAUUACGUCCCUGCCCUUUGUACACACCGCCCGUCGCUCCUACCGAUUGAAUGGUCCGGUGAAGCGUUCGGACCGUGGCCUUUGGACGGUUCGCCGUCUGUUGGCUGCGGGAAGUUCGUUAAACCUUAUCAUUUAGAGGAAGGAGAANUCGUANCA